CCUAUGUGACUGGUCACCAGUAAAAAUACCGGGCACUGAUUCUCUCAUGAGGUUUCCUGGUAGACAACAUUUCAUAGAGGGCAAAACUAAAACCAAAGUACAUCUUAUAUAGAAGCAAACUGGACAGAAGAAAGAACCUUCAGAUUGGAAAACACGAAGCAGAAGAGUCUGGAUGCUUAUUUGGCAUUAUCAAUAUCAAAUAAUCUAUCAAGUAAACUUACAGAUGGUACCAUUAUGACGGAGAAGGAAGUUUCAGGUCUGUGUGAAGACAAAACAUCCACAAUCUGGGCGGCGGAGGCCGAGCCGCCCACCUUCCGCUCACGUCCACUCGGCACCCAGAAGGCCGCUGUGCCUGCCAGCAGUUCCCGAAGGCCCGCGUGCACAGACACCCCUCUGCCUGUCCACCUGGUCUUCCCUGACCCCUCCAUUCACCGGAGCGCUCCCGCGUCGGCGGCCCACACUCCCCAGGAAUCACCUGAGUCUGCCAAAUUACAAACACGCGGACUCUCACCACCUUACUAGAAGGCAGGCUUAAAAAAUAGCAACCGUGGAGAACUACCUAGCCCAAUUACAUUACGUACCCCUCUCCACCCACAAUAAAGCCAACUGGCUGGCCCCUUACCUUU